GGCCUGUUGAUUAUAAUUUUAGGUCUGACCUGCCCACUGAUAUAAAUUAAUAUUAAAUGGCCGCGGUAUCCUGACCGUGCAAAGGUAGCAUAAUCACUAGUUUUUUAAAUGAAAGCUUGAAUGAAAGGUUUGAUGAAAAAAUAGCUGUCUCUAUUUAAAUUUUUUAGAAAUUUAUUUUUAAGUAAAAAAGCUUAAAUAUAUAUAAAAGACGAGAAGACCCUAUAGAGUUUUAUAAUGAAUAUAAUAAAUGAAUAAUUUAGGAUAGUAUAGUUUAUUAGAAGAAUUAUUUAGUUGGGGUGAUUAAAAAACUGAAUUAACUUUUUUUUUAUUAAAUCAUUAAUUUAUGAAUAUUUGAUCCUUAAUUUUAGAUUAUAAGAUAAAAUUACCUUAGGGAUAACAGCGUAAUUUUUUUAAGAGUUCUUAUUGAAAAAAAAGAUUGCGACCUCGAUGUUGGAUUAAAAGAAAUUAUUGGUGUAGGGGCUAAUAAAUUAGGUCUGUUCGACCUUUAAAAUUUUACAUGAUCUGAGUUUAAACCGGCGUAAG
rnacentral:rRNA from 1 species